AAAAUUGGGAAGAGAUCAAAGACUGUAUUUGCAUUGCGGAUGCUCUAAAAAAACAACGGAAUUUUUUUUCCUCUCUCUUCUCUCAUUUCCAUCUAUCAGACCAAUUAAUAUCGGAUGAUCUUUCCGGUUUCAUCCGGAUUUUAAUACUUCCGACUUGUUCAUAUUCUAGUCGGAUUAAUAAUGAUUCCGCUUGACGGAUUUUGUUUUCUUCUGCUUUCAAAUCUCCUUUUGCUGAUUUAGAUCGAUUCUUCAAUUUUGUAAAGAAAGUUCGCUAAUCCUUAGUGGAGCGAAACCUCUUUUCAAUUUGAAUGAUUAUGAUGGGUUUUAUGAGAUUAUGCAAUUGGUUUUUUGAUUGCAGAUUUCUUUCCUCUUCUACAGAUUCAGGUCCGGUGAUGAAGGUAACAACUUCUUCUCCAAAAUUUAGUAUCAUCUUCUCUCGAUUGGGAGCUUUCUCCCCAGAAUCCCUAAUGAAGUGCCUUGUAAAGACAAAGGGAAUUAGUCUUGAGGUAGUGAUGAUCGGUGGUGUUUUUAUGGAGGCAAGAAGAAUUAUAAACAACUUGGAUUCUGUUGUAGAAGAGUUUGCAUGAUGAUUCUUAUCAGGAGGAUUAGAUCUGAUAGAAUUUCUCAACCUCAGAGGUUUGCUUUCAUCGGAUCUCAGGUUUUCCGGCGAAGCUCUGUAUCAUCGAAGCUGUCGGCGGCAUCUUCUCACCGUCAACCUACUCUUCAUCCAAAACUGACACGUGUGACACACGUGUUUUUACUUUAGCAAGCGUUAUCCCCUUUGUAAUGGGUUAUAUUUGAGUUUGAAAUUGUACCGGUUUUAGGCUUUGAAUCAUCAUGUAAUUUGCCUUUGAAUUUUAAUAUGAUGGACGAAAAAAAAAAAGUAUCUACAGUUGACUAAUAUGUGGAGCAGAUAUAAAUGAAUAAGAUACACAGUCCUUUUAUUUAUUUAGAUUCAUACAUAUCUUUUAUUCAUUAGUGGUUAAUUCUGUAUUGCAUUCAUUUUAGCACACACACACAAAAAAAAUAUUACAUCAG
rnacentral:lncRNA from 1 species